UAGGGAAUCUUCCGCAAUGGGCGAAAGCUUGACGGAGCAACGCCGCGUGAGUGAUGAAGGUCUUCGGAUCGUAAAACUCUGUUAUUAGGGAAGAACAAAUGUGUAAGUAACUAUGCACGUCUUGACGGUACCUAAUCAGAAAGCCACGGCUAACUACGUGCCAGCAGCCGCGGUAAUACGUAGGUGGCAAGCGUUAUCCGGAAUUAUUGGGCGUAAAGCGCGCGUAGGCGGUUUUUUAAGUCUGAUGUGAAAGCCCACGGCUCAACCGUGGAGGGUCAUUGGAAACUGGAAAACUUGAGUGCAGAAGAGGAAAGUGGAAUUCCAUGUGUAGCGGUGAAAUGCGCAGAGAUAUGGAGGAUCACCAGUGGCGAAGGCGACUUUCUGGUCUGUAACUGACGCUGAUGUGCGAAAGCGUGGGGAUCAAACAGG
rnacentral:rRNA from 1 species